rfam:Felis catus isolate Cinnamon breed Abyssinian chromosome C1, whole genome shotgun sequence.
CCAACGGCCCUUUUUAGGGCCAACCAUCUGGUCUUCGGAAGAGCUG